rnacentral:lncRNA from 1 species
AGAUGAUGCUCUUAACUUUAGAGCAGAGGAGCAUUAUGGGGCGUCCUUACUCCCAGUCUUUCCAGAUGUUCUUCCCACUCCUCAACUGCUCCUGGCUCAGAAACCCUGCACACCUGGAAGAAAGUGAGAACCAGUUUUUCAACAAACACAUUGCACAGACUUAUUGUGAACCCCGGGUGGAAUCAAGCAUCGGAGGAAGAGAACGUGGGUCUUGCUGUGUCCCUAGGCUGGAGUGCAGUGGUGCAGUCUCAAUUAUGCCAGAUGGCUCUGAGGUCCAAGUAAAAGAUAAUAUUUGCAACCAACUCACUGGAGUUGACCAUCAAAACUCUUUUCCAGGUGGAAAAGCACCCUGAAUCCAGCUUCCUGCUAUGAAUGAAUACUGAGCUUGGGUUGGUGGAAAUUGAUUUUCGAGAUAAAGAAUCCAGCCAGGACUGUGAAGCCCCAGGGAAUGGCUGCACUUCAAGUCAGAAGGAGCCUGGGUCCCUGAAUCAUCAUGUGGAAGGCUCUCCACCCAGUUCAAUGGUGCAAUGGACCACAAGCAGGAACUUAAUUUAGAAUGUGCUUAUUUUGUUAGAUUUUGUAAUUAAAAAAUGGAUCCCACUCUGACUGAAUCAGAGAUGUUGAAGUCAUUGAUCUGGGAGGGUAUGUUCCUGGGAGUGGGUGGCUGAGGUGAGAUUUCAAACAAGGUUGUUGAGGAAGAGGAGUUCAAGUGACUGAGAGGACAUAUUGUUGGAUAAAUUGUGCGUGCGUGUGUGUGUGUGUGUGUGUGUGUGUUGAAAUCACCAAGAAUAGGGAAAGAAGUGUAUAAGAGAGUGUGGCAGUGAGCCCAGAGCUAAAAGAAAUCAUGAGCAGGGAGUAAUUCACGAGCAGAAAGUAGAAGCAACGAGAGGCAGUUAAUGAGAGAAGCAGCUGAGGGAUUUUAGCAAGGGAUGGG